CGGGGUGAGUAACGCGUGGAUAACCUGCCUCACACUGGGGGAUAACAGUUAGAAAUGACUGCUAAUACCGCAUAAGCGCACAGUACCGCAUGGUACAGUGUAGAAAACUCCGGUGGUGUGAGAUGGAUCCGCGUCUGAUUAGCCAGUUGCGGGGUAACGGCCCACCAAAGCGACGAUCAGUAGCCGACCUGAGAGGGUGACCGGCCACAUUGGGACUGAGACACGGCCCAA
rnacentral:rRNA from 1 species